rnacentral:lncRNA from 1 species
AGUUCUCUGUACCUGAAAAAGGCAACAGCACAGAAGUAAACAUCUCUCGAAGUGGGGUGACAUGCCAUACUGGAGGGGAAAAAUGUGCCUGAGAGACAAACAAAGGUGUGACGUUGGACAAGACAUUAGGCUUCUUGGAGCAUGAGGUUUCCUACCCGGAAAAUGAAGACAAUUAUUGCAAGCAGGGUGCCUGGUCAGUCGGCAAGCUCCCCGUUCCUGGCUCCUAAUUCUAGGAGGAAGUGUGUCAUGAGGAUCUUGUAUAAGAAUGGGCGGGUAGCAGAGGAGAUAGAGCCAUCUGGUCAAGUCCGCCUCCUCUCUGGCCUCAUGGCUCAACCAUUUCUUGGAAGAACAUUCCUCCCAAAGGAAAGAAAAACAUCCCUCUGAGCCCUGGCAGUGGGAGCAGAGAAGACUUUUCUGCCUGGGCCCGCCGUUUCAGACCCCCGGUGCAGCUUAAGUGAGGUAUUUCCGUCUGCAUCUGUGGCUUGUCUUGGAGCAAAAAGCUGGCAGUGCUGGAGGCUGCUGAGGUGCAUCCAUGGCUUAGAAAGCUCAGACACGGCUGCACAGCUCCGCGUCUGGCCAAGCUCCUCUGUCUGGACCAUCCCACCAUGUUCAGUGGAAGUCUGCUUCCUCCUGCGCCUCUUCUGUGGGACCUGUGUCCUCAUGGGACCCCUUUCUCAUUCUCUAUAUCAUGUCAGACCUCCUGGGAGAGAAAUUCGGAUGGCAAAAUGAUUUCUGUUCGCAUGCCUCUCAUUAAAAACUGCCUCUCUCCCAACCCACCAAGACUUUGCUUUCUGCACGAGACGCUGAAAAAAGGAACAGAGAAACACAUUCCCAAUAAGGGAAUCCAAUAUUCAUGAUAAUGACAGCAGCCAACACUGACUGAAUGUUUAUGGUGUACUAAACAAGGGUUGUCUCAUUUUUAUCCUCAGGACGACUCAGUUCUAUCUCCAUUUUAUGUAGAGAAAUUGAGGCUCAGAGAAGUUUAGCAGCCUGGCCAAGGUCACAGAGCUGAUGCAUGGUUGGAAAGGAAGUAAGUCAAUGAGCUUAAAGUGUUAACCACGUCUCCUAUCCAUUAGGCUUUUUCUAUUGGGGAAAUUUCAUUGCAAAAAGGUCUAAUUUGGCUAUUAGUGGGAGAGGUAUUUUGAAUUGAGUACCUUCCUAGGGACCCUACAUGACAUUGGGGGUAUUUAGCCUCUGUAUCUCAGUUUCUUCAUCUAUAAACUGGAUAUAAUAAGACAUACAGGAGUUGUCGUGAGGCUUAAAUGAGUUAUUGCGUAUAAAAUGCUUGGAACAGAGCCAGGGACAGGGUGGGUUCUCUGUGCAUAUAAUUAUUUUCACAGUCAUGAUUGUUAGGGUGGUGGUGUUCAUCUCCAGCCAUGUCUGUGGCAGCAUAUCUUACAGGGGGAGCAGGUGGUCCCAGGAGAGGGAAAGCAGCAGGUAUGAUCUGUAUCCCCCCAUCCUGGGUGCUCUGAGAAACCAGAUCUUGGCCACCAGAGAGAGGAGCCAGAGAGCCCUGGCCAGGCAUGGGGACAUGUCUUCUCCCCACCAGGCUCCUUCCAGUGUUUCCCAGCCUCCUGGGAUAUGGGCCACUUGUGCUGAUGCUGGGCAAUGCUGGAUGUUAGGAAGAGCAGAGGAGGAUUCCUUGCGUCUGAGGGGGAGGAUCAGAUGGUUCACAGAGCUGACUGUCAGGUGUUAGCUCUUACGUGCCAAGUCCUAUCCUAUCUCAUAUCCUUCCACUCUUAGCUGGAUGGUUUGGUGCCCUGUGGACAGGGCAGUGACAAGGGAACAUGGGGAGAGGAAAAUUGCCCUUGGUGUAGUGAGGACACUCCCAUCCUCACUGUUCGGGUCCCUACUACCCUUAGCUGGGCUCCCACAUGGGUCUGGCCCUUCUGGGAUAUUCAUACAGAGGCACCUGUGUUUAUGCACAUCUCCAUCCUACUUUCCAUCUUCUGGGGGCAGCCAUUGGAUGCCUGAGUCCCACUCUGUACACAGCCCUGGGCAUCGUAGAGCACCGAGAACCCUCAGGAGGGUGGGGCUGCAGUGGCCACUGGCAUCCCUCUUCCCAGAGAGGCUGAGCCCUUCUCCCAGAUUCGUAACACCCCAAGAAAAUACAGGUUGAUUAGGUAGAUGUGGAUUCAAGCCUGCCACAGUUUCUAGAUACUCCUAAUUACCUAAUUUGUGAGAUCCAUUUGGGUCAACCUACCACAGUGCCAGCUCUUUACCUAUACUAUUAAUCAAUUCAGGAACUGCUUUCUGAGCACCCACUACCUGCCAAGCACUACUGGAGCCUGACCUACGGAGAAGAAUCAAAGAGACACAGACUGUCUCCUGGGAGCUGAGACCCAGAGGAGUGGGAGCAAGUGGGGAGACACCAUGCCCCUAAGUGAAGACUGAGACAUGAGGGGCCAGAAGGGCAGUGCCAUGUAUAAGGCACGACACAGUGACUAGCGCCUCCAGCUGCUGCUGCUGCUCCUGUUGUUUUUCUUAUAAUUGAAGUAGCUCAGGUUAAGGAGUGACUAAUUCUUUCGGCAGGUGGUCAGGAAAGAUCACAUGGGAGAGGCGAGAUCUUUGCAGAGAAUUGAACGUGAAAGGAUGUUCACCAGGCCAUUCUCGGGCGGGGGGUGCAGGGAGGCUUUGCAGGUGUUGAGACCCCCAUCUGCCCAAAGCUCAGGUGUGAGGCUCAGUGUAGGGUGGUCAGGGAGCCAGGCAGCCCCAGGGUACCCUGACUGACUGCUCCCCUGAACAUCUCAGUCCGUCCCCUCCUCAGGCUUGUGGAUGGGAACAUGGAAACAGCUGCCUGCUUACUUUGAUGCUGACACCCACCUAGUCCUAUGCGGGCUCCAGCACAGGCAGACUGAUGGGUCCCUAUGCUGGGACCUUUCUGUUCCAUCUGAGGCUCUGGUUGGCCAGCUGAGCAAGUGAGCUUGCAGCCCGCACUCAGCCAGCGUGGGGAGAGCUAAUUGGCAGAUGAGGUACCACGGGAGGCCCGGCAUCUUCGCCCCUGGCUGUCCCUGAUGCUGUGGCAGAUGGCCUGCCUUCUCCAGCCCUUCAGAGACACCCCCUCGCAAUUACCACCCCACAGCUGCCAUGCGCGAAGGUUAGCUCAGUGCUUCAAAUGUGUGCCUGGAAGAUUAUAUAACCCGCUGGCAGGAGAAAGCCGCCACACUUGGCGAGUUUAGCAAGAUUAAAUGUGUCAACAGUCGGCUUUGAAUAUGAAAUAAUGCAAAUGUCUCCUUAGUCUCAUUUGAAUUAAAAGAAGUCAAGAU